UGGGUUUGUGAUCAGAGAAGAGUUUCUUUUUAGGCCCAAAUAUUCUUCUUGGGAUUGGUGUGGUUUAAAGUAAUUCAAUUCCCCCCUAUAAAUACUCCACCCCCUUUCUUCACUUCAUCACACUCAUAAAACACACAUAAUUUUAUUUUAUUUUUCUAAAAAAAACCAUUCAUUUUCUUCUUCUCGUUUUUUUCUUCUAUUAGGGUUAAAUUUGUUUCCUUUGCAAAAAAAUGAUCCUUUUUGUGUUUUUCCACAGCUUUCUUGAACUGCAUCUAAUUACAAUUUCAAUUCACAAAAUGAAAAAUUGAUUCAUAUUGUUGUUGCGGUUCAAUAAGGCUGUGGGAAGAUACAGAUAGGAUCAAACAGAAUUGAAUCGCUACGGAGUUAAUCGGUUGUUUUGAGUCGAGGAUCUGUCAAAAAUAAAUUCUUAGAGUAAAUAUGUAUCCUAUUCUUUCAGAUCUCACUAUGAGAUUACACGGGAGAAUUAAAAGGUGUCCAUGAUGAUCGACUAUUGUGUUUGUGGAUGUGUCUAUCUAAUAUAGAUAGCUUUGUGUUUCACUAUAGAUCUGAUGGGUUUGGAUUGAGCAAGAUGUAUAAGACUUUAUUCUUAAUUUUAUAUUAUAGUUUGUUAUCGUU